AACGAACGCUGGCGGCAUGCCUAACACAUGCAAGUCGAACGAGACCUUCGGGUCUAGUGGCGCACGGGUGCGUAACGCGUGGGAAUCUGCCCUUCGGUUGGGAAUAACUGAGAGAAAUUUCAGCUAAUACCUUAUAAUGUCUUCGGACCAAAGAUUUAUCGCCGAGGGAUGAGCCCGCGUAGGAUUAGGUAGUUGGUGGGGUAAUGGCCUACCAAGCCGACGAUCCUUAGCUGGUCUGAGAGGAUGAUCAGCCAUACUGGGACUGAGACACGGCCCAGACUCCUACGGGAGGCAGCAGUGGGGAAUAUUGGACAAUGGGCGAAAGCCUGAUCCAGCAAUGCCGCGUGAGUGAUGAAGGCCUUAGGGUUGUAAAGCUCUUUUACCCGGGAUGAUAAUGACAGUACCGGGAGAAUAAGCUCCGGCUAACUCCGUG
rnacentral:rRNA from 1 species